rnacentral:antisense_RNA from 1 species
CUUCAACGACCCCAACAACACCGGACGUCCCUCGUCACGGCCCUGGCCGUAGGUGGCGAGCACGGCCUGGGCCUC